UAUAGAAAAUGAAGGAGGUUGCAGAAGAUCACUGGAAGGAAGUUUUCCCAGAACAAAUGUGUUAUGGUUGAUAUACUUGGUGGACAUACUGCUACUGAAGAAAACAUAUGUACGUUCUUCAAAGAAUGAGAGAGACAUGCGGUCUUUGAAAAAGCGUCUGGACAAAUAUGAUUCAGCUAAAGAAGCUAUUUUCGAUCCCUUCUUCGAGGACCUUCUUGUGAAUGAUUAAUGCUUUUGAGGGUUCGAAUGAAUGAUUCCAAAUAUUGUGUUUGUAAUGGGAAAAGGAUAGCCGGGUCCUGG